AUGAAUGAACACAUUUCCUGUCCACAGGGUAGAAUUUCACUUGGAAAUAGUCCCUGGCCUCGGCCAGGGCAUCAGGUCCAUGUCCCAUUUCAGGACACUUCAAGGGAGCAGAAGGAACAGCUGUUGAGCAGAUGAAAUGCUACUUGCUGUCAGCACCUUUCCUCAGCGAGCUAACCCGUUCCCUGCCGGGUCACUGCUCUGGGACGCUGUCAGGCAUGAUCCUGCAGACUUCCACUAGCCGGAUUUUCACCCUUUUAUCAGCAGCAAAUACCAAAAGCGUGGACUCCUUUAGGACUUCUGGCUUCACCUCCCAUGAAGAGUAACCACAGACAGGAAAGACCCUGUCAAAAUGCAAAUGUUGCUGCUACCCGGAGAGGGUAACACGUGAACUUAUUACCAUCCAUUAUCGCCUGAGUGCCGUUUAUCAGCUUCCCAGCUGAGACAGGGCCCCCGGGAGAAAGAAGGGUGCCAAGCAGAUUAUCUCUAUUCCCUGGAGACACCAGCGGACAAGAGAGGAAG